rnacentral:rRNA from 1 species
GGACCCGCACAAGCAGCGGAGCAUGUGGUUUAAUUCGAAGCAACGCGAAGAACCUUACCAGGACUUGACAUCCCUCUGACAGGAACUUAACCGUUCCCUUCUUCGGACAGAGGAGACAGGUGGUGCAUGGUUGUCGUCAGCUCGUGUCGUGAGAUGUUGGGUUAAGUCCCGCAACGAGCGCAACCCUUGUCAUUAGUUGCCAUCAUUAAGUUGGGCACUCUAGUGAGACUGCCGUGGAUAACACGGAGGAAGGUGGGGAUGACGUCAAAUCAUCAUGCCCCUUAUGUUCUGGGCUACACACGUGCUACAAUGGCUGGUACAAAGAGACGCAAGACCGUGAGGUGGAGCAAAUCUCAAAAACCAGUCCCAGUUCGGAUUGUAGGCUGCAACUCGCCUACAUGAAGUUGGAGUUGCUAGUAAUCGCGGAUCAGAAUGCCGCGGUGAAUGCGUUCCCGGGUCUUGUACACACCGCCCGUCACACCAUGGAAGUUGGGGGCGCCCGAAGUUGGCCAGUAAAUAGGUUACCUAAGGCGAAAUCAAUGACUGGGGUGAAGUCGUAACAAGGUAGCCGUAUCGGAAGGUGCGGCU